rnacentral:rRNA from 1 species
CCUACGGGGGGCUGCAGUAAGGAAUAUUGGACAAUGGGCGCAAGCCUGAUCCAGCCAUGCCGCGUGAAGGACGAAGGCGUCAGCGUUGUAAACUUCUUUUGGACGGGAACGGGUACUGUCAGAAUAAGCACCGGCUAACUCCGUGCCAGCAGCCGCGGUAAUACGGAGGGUGCAAGCGUUAUCCGGAAUCACUGGGUUUAAAGGGUGCGUAGGCGGUCAAGUAAGUCAGUCGUGAAAUCGCUGGGCUCAACCCAGCAAUUGCGAUUGAUACUGCAUGACUUGAAUGGGGUUAAGGCAGGCGGAAUGUGGCAUGUAGCGGUGAAAUGCAUAGAUAUGCCAUAGAACACCGAUUGCGAAGGCAGCCUGCUGGGCUAUUGACGCUGAGGCACGAAAGCGUGGGGAGCAAACAGGAUUAGAUACCCUUGUAGUC